rnacentral:tRNA from 1 species
GCCGGAGUGGCGGAAUGGUAGACGCAGUGGAUUCAAAAUCCACCGCUAGCGAUGGUGUGGGGGUUCGAGUCCCCCCUCCGGCA